rnacentral:tRNA from 4 species
GCAUCAGUGGUUUAGUGGUAAAAUCCAUCGUUGCCAUUCUUGGAAUAGACUCGAUGGGCCCCGUGUUCGAUUCACGGCUGAUGCA